rnacentral:rRNA from 1 species
GACGAACGCUGGCGGCGUGCUUAACACAUGCAAGUCGAACGAAGUGGCGCACGGGUGCGAAACGCGUAAUCAACCUGCCCUUCAGAGGGGGACAACAGUUGGACACGACUGCUAAUACCGCAUACUGAAGGCGGGGAUGUCGUUGGUUUAGCUGGGUGGAGGGGUAACGGCCCACCAGGGCGACGAUCAGGAGCCGGUCUGAGAGGAUGAACGGCAACAUUGUGACUGAGACACUGCCCAGACGCCUACUGGAGGCAGCAGUGGGGAAUCUGCCGCAAUGGACGAAAGUCUGACGGAGCAACGCCGCGUGAGUGAUGACGGCCGUCGGGUUGUAAAGCUCUGUUAAUCGGGACGCGGUACCGGAAUAGAAAGCCACGGCUAACUACGUGCCAGCCGCCGCGGUAAUAC